CACGUGAGCAUGGGACUGCUACAAAGGUCGUAAGUGUGAAAAACGGUCAUAAGUCACUUUAUUCAGUGUCAUUGUAACUUUCAAGGGUUACUAAAUGAACUGUUGUACGUUGAGGACUUCCUGUACUAUGUGUACUUAAUCCUGCUUCCAAUAUUUUUCCUCAACCUUCCUUUGAAAUUUCUCUAAUCCCUACACAACCCACUCUGAAGCCCAUCCUUCAGAAAUGCAGUCAUAACGAUAACUACGUUUGUUCCUGUUUGGGGCAUUAUAUCAAAGUUAGAUAUUUUUAUAAACUCAAAGAGGAUACAAGGACAGAAUUUAAAAUAUGAAUAUAAAUAAAUGAGAAUUCUCCCGUUGGAGGAAGAAAAAGGAUAUCUAUGUGAAACAAUAGACGUUUUGGAAGUAAACCUGCAAACCUGAAAAAAAAAAAUAAGAAUUUGUUCUGUUUCUGGGAUGCCUGUGGUUUAAUAUUUCACUAUAACUGAAGGAUAAGUUAUGAAGCUGGUUACUUUGAGCCUGCUGUUUAUUUCUUGUUUUUUGUUCCUAGUUUAUGAUAUUUGGAAAUUUAAAAUGGAACAUAUUUGAGACCAGCAAGGCCAUUCUUGAAGAAAGAAGAACUGUCUCUAUUUGUUAGGGCAGUGAAUGCUUCAACAUUUACUUAGAAGAUAUUUAAGUACAGCAUCUCUCUCCUCAUCACUACAAAUCUGUAAUGUUUUUCUCUUUGAGCCUGAAGUCACAUUAUCAGUACAGGUGGUCCUCAACCUGAGACUGCGAUUGAGCCCUGAAUUACAGUCGUACAUUGUUGCAGUUAAAAAGUCAAAGCAUCAUGUGACUGGACUUAAUUUUUUGAACAUUUUUACAGUAGUUGUCAAGCGAACGCUGUAGUCAUUAAGCGAAUGCUGAAGUCAUUAAGUGAACGCUGAAGGCUCAAAAUAACGCUUUGCAACAUGGCCUCCGGGGAGGUCAUGCCUGAAGUCUGUGUGAGUAUGGAGAGGAAAUAUCCCAGAGUUGUGUGUGCUGCAUUGUGGAGAUUUUCAAGAAAAGAUUGGACAGUCAUUUGUCUGAGAUGGCAGAGGCCAAAAGCCACCAAAGGAGUCAGCCACCGGGCCAUCCAGACACUCCUAAACCCAGAACAUCUGGAAAAGAUGUUCAGCGCUCUUCUGCUGCACGAAGAGCGACGUAGAGGACCUUCCUGAGCCUCCUGACAGGACUGACGAGGGACAGAAGCGGCAUGACCAGAAGGGAGAAUGGCAGACACAUCUUUGUGUGUCUGAUGGACGCAGGUCUUCCUCCCAAGGGGUAAGGACUCUUCUGUGACAUGGCCAGUCAGGGUCCUUGCCUCAAAACCGGGUGGGGAAAGGGAGGAAUUCUCACUUGGGGGAACCUGGCCAGCCUAGGAAAGUCAAGAGGAGCCUUUUGGAUUCGGGAAAAGAUCUUGAUGGCUUGGAAGGGAAAUACUGGGACAUUCUAAGAAAGAGCCAUUUUGAGCCUCUUCCCAUUAGCCAACUUUUCCA